rnacentral:rRNA from 1 species
GUCUAUGGCCAUGCCACCCUGAACAAGCCCGACGUCUGAUCUCAGAAGCUAAGCAGGGUUGGGCGUGGUUAGUACUUGGAUGGGAGACCACCUAGGAAGACCAGGUGCUGUAGGUG